rnacentral:rRNA from 1 species
GAUGAACGCUAGCGGAAGGCUUAAUACAUGCAAGUCGAGCGGUAGUCCCUUUCGGGGGAUGAGAGCGGCGCACGGGUGAGUAACGCGUACAUGACCUGCCUAUCAGAAGGGGAUAGCCCUGGGAAACUGGGAUUAAUACCCUAUGGCAUUGUAUUUUUAAAUGGGUACAAUUAAAGCUGAGGCGCUGAUAGAUGGAUGUGCGUCUGAUUAGCUAGUUGGUGGGGUAAAGGCCCACCAAGGCGACGAUCAGUAGGGGGCGUGAGAGCGUGGUCCCCCACACGGGUACUGAGACACGGACCCGACUCCUACGGGAGGCAGCAGUAAGGAAUAUUGGUCAAUGCCCGCAAGGGUGAACCAGCCAUUCCGCGUGGAGGAUGAAGGCCCUAUGGGUUGUAAACUUCUUUUAGAUGGGAAGAAAAUGCUUUGUUUACAAGGUACUGACGGUACCAUCAGAAUAAGCACCGGCUAACUCCGUGCCAGCAGCCGCGGUAACAC